AUUUUUGCAGUAGAAUCAUUUCUAAAAAAAAUGAAUGGAAGUAAGAAGACCACCUCAUCCUCAUCAAAAAGAACACAAACUCAGCACAUUAAUCAAUCCCAGACGUAGUCAAAGCUCUUCAGUUUCAUUAACGACGAUGCUCUCUUCAUUUUCAGCUUCUUCCUUGGCCAACAUUCGUAAAUCUUCAUUUCUUCUUGGAAACCCAACACACAUUACCAAAAUCAAGAAUCCACCUUUUUCUGUUGGGAUCUCUGGGGCACCAAAUUUCACUCAUCUGUUCAUUGACUCUUCUCCGAGGGCAUCAGUGAAGUGCUUCUCCCAGCAAGAAAAGCAGCAGUUGCUGCAACAAGAUGAUGAGGAAGUUCAUGAAUUCCAGAGGCUGUUUUCCAAUCUUAAUCAAGCCACAUUGAAAAGGGAACCUGGAAGCCUAAGCAGUUCGAUUUUCCUCGUUGCUGGCACCACUAGUAUUACUGCCACAUUCCUUAUAAUGACUUUCGGUGAAUACUUGCCAUUCCUGCCGUGACACAAGAAUCUGGAUUCCUGGCAUCUGCAGUAACCUGCAUCAUAUGCUGGAUUUUUAUGGUCACCACUGGACUUCUCAUUGCUGAAGUAAAUGUGAAUAUGAUGCGUGAGCUUGGUUCUGGUGGUGUUUCUUUGGACUGCGAUUGUUGGGGGCACUGCUAUUCCGCUAGGCUUUAUUUCUAAUUUGGAACGCAGUCAUUCUCGGGAUCAUUCCAACUCCUCAAACGGGAUCAGAUACUUUUGUCGACCCACUACAGCUACUGCGCUCAACUAACGAGUUGCAAUAUCAUCGUACUCAACUACUUUUAGCCAUCAAGAAAGAAGCGAUUGAGCAAACACUAGAUGUAACCUCUUCCAUCAUAAAUUGUUUCUAAUACUACCAUUUUGCAGCCUAUAGUUGAUGUGUUCUCGGUUCUUGCCAUUGCAACUUCUUACAUUGGGUUUGUUCUCGGCCUCUCCGACUUCCUUGC